UACGUAGGGUGCAAGCGUUGUCCGGAAUUAUUGGGCGUAAAGAGCUCGUAGGCGGUUUGUCGCGUCUGCUGUGAAAACUCGGGGCUUAACUCCGGGCCUGCAGUGGGUACGGGCAGACUAGAGUGCGGUAGGGGAGACUGGAAUUCCUGGUGUAGCGGUGAAAUGCGCAGAUAUCAGGAGGAACACCGGUGGCGAAGGCGGGUCUCUGGGCCGUAACUGGACGCUGGAGGAGCGAAAGCGUGGGGAGCGAACAGGA
rnacentral:rRNA from 1 species